rnacentral:rRNA from 1 species
AAUUUUGGACAAUGGGGGAAACCCUGAUCCAGCCAUCCCGCGUGUAUGAUGAAGGCCUUCGGGUUGUAAAUUACUUUUGGAGGGGAAGAAAAGUAAUCCCCUAAUACGAGUUCUUGCUGACGGUACUGGCAGAAUAAGCACCGGCUAACUACGUGCAAGCAGCCGCGGUAAUACGUAGGGUGCAAGCGUUAAUCGGAAUUACUGGGCGUAAAGCGUGUGUAGGCGGUUCGGAAAGAAAGAUGUGAAAUCCCAGGGCUCAACCUUGGAACUGCAUUUUUAACUGCCGAGCUAGAGUAUGUCAGAGGGGGGUAGAAUUCUACGUGUAGCAGUGAAAUGCGUAGAUAUGUGGAGGAAUACCGAUGGCGAAGGCAGCCCCCUGGGAUAAUACUGACGCUCAGACACGAAAGCGUGGGGAGCAAACAG